AGUGUAGGCGGUCCGGUAAGUCGGGUGUGAAAUCCCUCCGCUCAACGGAGGAACUGCGUCCGAUACUGCCGGGCUUGAGGCGCUCAGGGGCGACUGGAACUCUCGGUGGAGCGGUGAAAUGCGUAGAUAUCGAGAGGAACGCCGAUGGUGAAGACAGGUCGCUGGGAGCAUCCUGACGCUGAGACUCGAAAGCCAGGGGAGUGAACGGGAUUAGAUACCCCGGUAAUCCUGGCCCUAAACGAUGCGCACUAGGUGGGGGAGGGUCUAACGCCCAUCCCUGCCGCAGGGAAACCGUUAAGUGUGCCGCCUGGGAAGUACGGUCGCAAGGCUAA
rnacentral:rRNA from 1 species